AGAGUUUGAUCCUGGCUCAGGAUAAACGCUGGCGGCGUGCCUAAUGCAUGCAAGUCGAACGGGCUUUUCUUUCGCAAGAGGGGGAAGUCAGUGGCGGACGGGUGAGGAACACGUACGGGACCUGCCCCGUGGUGGGGAAUAACCCUUCGAAAGAGGGGCUAAGACCGCAUAAGGUCGCUGGGAUGAGGCCUGGCGAGGAAAGCCGGAGGAAUUCGGUGCCAUGGGAGGGGCGUGCGGCCGAUUAGCUCGUUGGUGGGGUAAGAGCCUACCAAGGCUGUGAUCGGUAGCUGGUCUGAGAGGAUGGACAGCCACACUGGGACUGAGACACGGCCCAGACUCCUACGGGAGGCAGCAGCAGGGAAUCUUGCGCAAUGGGCGAAAGCCUGACGCAGCAACGCCGCGUGGGUGAGGAAGGCCUUCGGGUUGUAAAGCCCUUUUCUGGGGGACGAGGAGGGACGGUACCCCAGGAAGAAGCCACGGCUAACUACGUGCCAGCAGCCGCGGUAAUACGUAGGUGGCAAGCGUUGUCCGGAGUUACUGGGCGUAAAGGGCGCGCAGGCGGUGCGCCAGGUCCAUGGUGAAAGCGCCCGGCUUAACUGGGCGAGGGCCGUGGAGACCGGCGGACUGGAGCGGAGCAGAGGCGAGUGGAAUUCCGAGUGGAGUGGUGAAAUGCGUAGAGAUCCGGAGGAACACCAGUGGCGAAGGCGGCUCGCUGGGCUCUGGCUGACGCUGAGGCGCGAAAGCGUGGGGAGCGAACCGGAUUAGAUACCCGGGUAGUCC
rnacentral:rRNA from 1 species